UUGAAAGGGAGAUUUACAAAACU
rnacentral:snRNA from 1 species